AACGCAUAUGGCACCCGAGACCUCGGUCGAGGGUAUGUCUGUCUCAGAGUCGGCGUAAAAAACAUCCCCGAGGAAGAAGAGGAGAAAAAACCCUCCUUCCGACGGGGGAGCUGGCCCCCCCGGAGAGGUCGGUCUACGCCUACUCCCUCCGGGUCGGCUGAAGGGAAGAGACGGGGGACCGCACGCGCGGACAGCCACGAUUUUGGUGGGAGGACCCAGCGUCCGCAUCAUCGAUCGAGGCCGUCCUGUCGAAAGCGUGGGGAAGCGCCCCCGCCCAUGCAGGAAGCAAACCGUUUUCCGUUCCGACCUGAGAUCAGGCAAGAUCACCCGCUGAACUUAA
rnacentral:misc_RNA from 1 species